UCGUAGACCUGCUGGGGCGCGAUAAAGUGGAUGUGGCAGUCAAUACCGCCCGCCGUUACAAGCAUAUUCUCGCCCGCGAUAACCUCGGUGCUGGCUCCGACUACCAGUUCCGGGUCAACCCCCUGCAUGGUAUCGGGGUUUCCGGCCUUGCCCACCUUCACGAUGCGGCCAUCCUUGAUACCGAUGUCGCCUUUAACUAUGCCCCAGUAAUCAAUAAUCAGGGCGUUGGUAAUGACCAGGUCGAGCGCCCCGGCCCUGGUUGCGCCGCUGCUCUGGCCCAUGCCGUCGCGA
rnacentral:sRNA from 1 species